GUUACGCGAACAACACUUGCCAAUUACGAGCUUCCUAUUUUCACCUAAACGUCACACACACACACACAAGACGGGCGUGCUAGCCAGUGCUAAUGGAAGAAGGUGGCGGACAUUAUGAGGGAGAGACUGUAGUGUUGGACGGAGUGGAUGAAAACACCGUCUUACCUUCGCGAAUGACGUAGGGAGGAGAGUCAGAAACUUCUCCAUCCCUCCUACGGUUUUCCUGCGUACUUCUCCUACUGGGUUGAACAUUCAAGCAUGCAAGCACGGAUUAUCGCGGGGGUUACGUUCCACGCACCCCACGGAGCAGAGGCUGUCUGCCGGCCGGCGGUGGCGAGGAGCGUAGGAGGGGCCGUGGUUUCUAUCCGUGGCCCUCUCAUGCACCCUACAGGUGCGCCACUUUCUCUCUCCUUGCACAUGAAAGGCGUCACGGG